rnacentral:rRNA from 1 species
GACGAACGCUGGCGGCGUGCCUAAUACAUGCAAGUCGAGCGGACUGAUUAAGAUCUUGUGCUUAUGACGUUAGCGGCGCGCGGGUGUGAAACACGUGUGCAACGUGCUCGGUAGUUCGGGAUAAUACCGAAAAAUCGGUUCUAAUACCGGAGAAUAUCUGAGAUCACAUGAGCUUAGGGUAAGAUAUGGCUCCGGCUAUCACUACAGGAUCGGCUCGCGGCGCAUUAGCUAGUUGGUAAGGUAAUGGCUUACCAAGGUGGCGAUGCGUAGCCGACCUGGGGGGUGGCUCGGCCACACGGUGACAGAGACACGGCCCAGACUGCUACGGGAGGCAGCAGCAGGGAAUCUUCGGCGAUGGACGAGAGUCUGACGGAGCAACGCCGGGUGGGUGAUGGAGGGAUGCGGCUCGUAGAGAUCUGUUGUUUGGGAAGGAAAAGUACCGAACGAAGUAGGUCGGUGUCUUGGCGGUACCUGAGCAGAAAGGCACGGCUAACUUCGUG